UAUAUCCUGUAGUGAGACAGCUUGAUGUACCAGGACACCCCCUGGACAGGACACUAGUCUAUCUCCUGUUUCUGUAGUGAGACAGCUUGAUGUACCAGGACACCCCCUGGACAGGACACUAAGUCCUGUGGAAAUACUAUGAAUGGUGUAUGCUUGGGUUGAGUUGAUUCACUUGGGAGAAUCAAGGUUGAGUUGAUUCACUUGGGAGAAUCAAGGUUGAGUUGAUUCACUUUGGGAGAAUCAAGGUUGAGUUGAUUCACUCGGGAGAAUCAAGGUUGAGUUGAUUCACUCGGGAGAAUCAAGGUUGAGUUGAUUCACUUGGGAGAAUCAAGGUUGAGUUGAUUCACUUGGGAGAAUCAAGGUUGAGUUGAUUCACUUGGGAGAAUCAAGGUUGAGUUGAUUCACUUGGGAGAAUCAAGGUUGAGUUGAUUCACUUGGGAGAAUCAAGGUUGAGUUGAUUCACUCGGGAGAAUCAAGGUUGAGUUGAUUCACUUGGGAGAAUCAAGGUUGAGUUGAUUCACUUGGGAGAAUCAAGGUUGAGUUGAUUCACUUGGGAGAAUCAAGGUUGAGUUGAUUCACUUGGGAGAAUCAAGGUUGAGUUGAUUCACUCGGGAGAAUCAAGGUUGAGUUGAUUCACUUGGGAGAAUCAAGGUUGAGUUGA